rnacentral:rRNA from 1 species
AGAAUCAACGCUGGCGGCGUGCCUAACACAUGCAAGUCGAACGAGAAAGGGGAGCAAUCCCUGAGUAAAGUGGCGACCGGGUGAGUAACACGUGACUAACCUACCUUCGAAUGGGGGAUAACUCCGGGAAACCGGGCUAAUACCGCAUAACAUCUCCGGAUCGGAAGAACUGGGGAUCAAAGGAGCAAUUCGUUGAAGAGGGAGUCGCGGCUGAUUAGCUUGUUGGCGGGUAAUGGCCCACCAAGGCGAUGAUCGGUA